rnacentral:rRNA from 1 species
CUUGCUCUUCGAUUCAGCGGCGGACGGGUGAGUAAUGCCUAGGAAUCUGCCUGGUAGUGGGGGACAACGUUUCGAAAGGAACGCUAAUACCGCAUACGUCCUACGGGAGAAAGCAGGGGACCUUCGGGCCUUGCGCUAUCAGAUGAGCCUAGGUCGGAUUAGCUAGUUGGUGAGGUAAUGGCUCACCAAGGCGACGAUCCGUAACUGGUCUGAGAGGAUGAUCAGUCACACUGGAACUGAGACACGGUCCAGACUCCUACGGGAGGCAGCAGUGGGGAAUAUUGGACAAUGGGCGAAAGCCUGAUCCAGCCAUGCCGCGUGUGUGAAGAAGGUCUUCGGAUUGUAAAGCACUUUAAGUUGGGAGGAAGGGCAGUAAGCGAAUACCUUGCUGUUUUGACGUUACCGACAGAAUAAGCACCGGCUAACUCUGUGCCAGCAGCCGCGGUAAUACAGAGGGUGCAAGCGUUAAUCGGAAUUACUGGGCGUAAAGCGCGCGUAGGUGGUUUGUUAAGUUGGAUGUGAAAGCCCCGGGCUCAACCUGGGAACUGCA